AUUGAACGCUGGCGGCAGGCUUAACACAUGCAAGUCGAGCGGGGUGAUGGUGCUUGCACUAUCACUUAGCGGCGGACGGGUGAGUAAUGCUUAGGAAUCUGCCUAUUAGUGGGGGACAACAUCUCGAAAGGGAUGCUAAUACCGCAUACGUCCUACGGGAGAAAGCAGGGGAUCACUUGUGACCUUGCGCUAAUAGAUGAGCCUAAGUCGGAUUAGCUAGUUGGUGGGGUAAAGGCCUACCAAGGCGACGAUCUGUAGCGGGUCUGAGAGGAUGAUCCGCAACACUGGGACUGAGAGCGGGCCCAGACUCCUACGGGGGGCAGCAGUGGGGAAUAUUGGACAAUGGGGGGAACCCUGAUCCAGCCAUGCCGCGUGUGUGAAGAAGGCCUUAUGGUUGUAAAGCACUUUAAGCGAGGAGGAGGCUCUUUUGGUUAAUAACCAAGAUGAGUGGACGUUACUCGCAAAAUAAGCACCGGCUAACUCUGUGCCAGCCGCCGCCGUAA
rnacentral:rRNA from 1 species